GUUUACUGCCGCUGAUCGCGCAUCACAGACCGAAUUUGAGGGGCCGGGACAUUCCCGGCCCCUUUUCUUUUGCCCGC
rnacentral:sRNA from 1 species